AAGUAAUUAACUCAAUGGUAGAGUGUUUUAUUUACACUAAAACUGUUAAUGGUUCAAAUCCAUUAUUACUUA
rnacentral:tRNA from 1 species